rnacentral:rRNA from 1 species
GAUGAACGCUAGCUACAGGCUUAACACAUGCAAGUCGAGGGACCGGCGCACGGGUGAGUCACAAGUAUCCCACCUGCUCUUUACUCGGGGAUAGCCUUUCGACAGAUAGAUUAAUACCCGAUAUAAAUGAUGGGUAUGCGUUCCAUUAGGUUGUUGGUGCUGUAACGGCUCACCAAGCAUUCGAUGGAGAGGGGUUCUAAGAGGAAGGGCCCCCACAUUGGAACUGGGACACGGUCCAAACGCCUACGGGAGGCAGCGGAGAGGAAUAUAGGGAAGUGGGCGCUAGCCUGAACCGGCCAAGUAGCGUGAAGGAUGAAGGCUUAUGGGGCGUGAACUUCUUGUAUAUAAGAAUAGGUAUUAUAUGAAUAAGGAACGGCUAACUCCGUGCCAGCAGCCGCGGUAAUAC